CCCUCUCAUUUCGUAUCUAUACGCUCUCACAAGAAACUUUAGUCGCCCUAGGAUUCCCUCGCCAGCUCCGCCUUUCUUUGCCGCCUGGAAAUUGUCCUACGGCGGUUGAACAUCACCAAACCACCCCAAAAUUCACCCUCUAUAAUCCUCAGCCUCCCCCUUUACACUAUCCCACUAUCAAUUUCCUCUAAAUCACCACCCAAAUCCGUCAAUUUCAGAUCUGAAAAUUUAAACCCAAAAAUCCUAAGUCGCCCAAACAACCCCAAACUCACACCAUAGGAUCUUCAACCUCCCCUCAACACUAUCCUACCCUUGAUUUCCAAAAAAUUCCCGCCAAAUUCUUCGAAUCCUAAAUCUACGAAGGACCAGAAACCCUUGUUCUAUUUUUCCUUUCUUUUUCGAGUUUCUUCGGAUUGCUUCCAGACUCGACUUAGUUGAAAACCCAUGCUAAUCAAUUUCCCAAUAAGAACGGUUGGUUAGCAUAUUGUUUUAGCUAUAUCGAAGGAUUUUCGACUUGGCAGACCCCUCUUGGUAUUUUUUUACCUUUUCCUUGUUUCUUUAUUGUAUUUCCCUAAUUUCCGGAUGUGUAUAAUCAAAAGUUAAUUUAGCUCGUUUCUAUAUAUGUUAUUUUGUUUACUGUUUGGAUAGUAUUAAAAUGAUUUGAAGCAUGUUAAAUGUUAGAAAAAUUAGUUCAGUUGUUAGUUUGCUUGAUUUAAUCAAUUGUAAAUUAAUUAAGUUAAUUAUUAGGUUUUCAUUAUCUCUUUGUUGUCCUUGUUUCUGCCAUGUUUUUGUUUAUACCGAGUUCCUGUUUAGGGUUAAUUAGAUGAGUAAUUUUAUUUACUGAUUAGGUUAGUAUUUAGGUUUAAAUUGCACAAUAUCGAUUUUGUUUGUCAUUUUUUGAUUUGGAUUCUGAUUCCUUUUCAGCUUUGCCUCUGUUUUCCAUGAGUUGUGAAUUAUUACAAACUUGUAGGGUCCUAAUUGAACCUAAUAGAAACUUAAGAGGACAUUAGGAACUUUAGAAAAUAAAUAUCUAGAAGAAGGAAGGUUCUAGAAGGGACAACUCUCUAGAAUUUGUUAAAAAGAUGCUGAAAACUGGACAAUUAUCUAUUAUUCUAUGUCAAAAUAUGUUGUACUAUCUAAGAAAUUUAGGGUAGAAUAUUCUUUUGAUGCUAUUUUGAAUAUACUCUAUAAAGAAAAUCUAUUCACCCAUUCUCAUAGACUCGUACAUCAACAUCUGCACCUGAAAAAGCUCUGGAAACAAAAGAGAAAAAUUCCCUGAAUAUUAUGGCUAAAACAUCAGUCUUCUAGUUAGAGUUCUGGGAUGAUUUUCUCAGAAUACUUUCAUUUUUUUUGAGAAAUCUAAGGGCUGGUUCUUUAUAUUCCUGGGUUGAUACCCUACUGUUGCUGUUUGGGUUUUGUUUGUUACUCCAUCUUUAAAUUUUAGUCAGUUGUUCACUUGUUUUGUGGCUACUUUUUGCUGUUUAAGGGAUCUAUUUUUCAUAUUCUGGUCCAUUGUGCUGCAAUCAGGUAUUUACCUUAAAUCUAAGAUUUAGUUUUGGCAUGAAUAAGUUGAUUGCUUUACUUGUUCUAUCAAGUCUUGAUCCUCUCUCAUCAUGUGUUUAUUUCUUUACAUUUAGCAUGUUAAUUAGUAAACCUUGGUUCAGUUAAACUCACGAGUGUUUCUUCUGCCAUGCGAUGUUUUGACAUGAAAAGAGCAAGAGUCCAUGGCUCUACUAUAUGAUUAUUUGAACUGGUGUGUCUAUUGUAUAACUAUGAGUCUAUUUCUGAGCUAUACUUAUUCUGAACUUUGAUUGCUGAGUUAUCUUUCUUCAUUAUUUCUUCCUGCUUUGCUGUUUAGUUAAUAAUACACUAUUAAAUGAAUUUCCCAUAAAUAAUGAAACCUGCAUUUUUAUUUUUUCUGUUUAUAUGUGAGUCUCCCCAAGAGUAAGGUGGGAAGUUCUUGUAGGGAAGGAUGCCAGGGGUCUAUUUGGAAACAGCCUCUCUACCCAAAGGUAGGGGUAAGAUCUACGUACAUACUACCCUCCCCAGACCCUACGAAGUGGGAUUAUACUGGGUUGUUGUUGUUAUUGUUGUUGUUGUAUGUGAGUGGCAAUAAGGCAAGGAAACCUCAAAGCUGAAAUUGAAUGUUGGCUUAUAAGAAACAACUCUAUAGUUGAUUCUUGCAAGCUGAAGCUUGUUUAAAAGGCUUUGCAGCAGUUGAAGGGCUCGAAGAUAUGAAGAAUGUUACCUUUCAUCUCAAAAAAAUUCUUUAUUUUCCUUUAGAUACAUAGUUGUAUUAACGAGCAUGUUGUAAAUUUACGGAGUGUCAGCAGUAAAUGGACUGUUAGAAUAUUUUAAUUUCGAGUUUGAUCAUGUUUGAUUAAUAGUUUAUGUUCAUAAUAGCAUAAUUUCUUUGUUAUAGCACAUCCUAUUAUCACAAAAG
rnacentral:lncRNA from 1 species